rnacentral:pre_miRNA from 1 species
UUCGUACUCCCUCCGUUCGGAAUUACUUGUCUCGGAAAUGGAUGUAUCUAAAACUAAAAUACGUCUAGAUACAUCUAUUUUUGCGACAAGUAAUUCCGAACGGAGGGAGUACUUC